rnacentral:lncRNA from 1 species
GUUUUUUCUGUUUUUGAUAAGUUGAAAUGAUUAUUAGUAGCAAUUAAGCAGUUAUAGUCAUACUACAGUGUUUAGAGUUGGCACUUAAGUUUUCUUUUUAAUAAAAUUUGACAAGUCAAAAGUGUAAAUUUAGCAAUCUUUUUAACUCAGAAUAUUUGAGGAAGUUCAACUAUAUUUGUAAGUAUGAGUCUCUAAAGAGUUUUCUUUAGUUACUUUAUGCAUCAUGGCUCAGACGAAAUGAGACAGAAAUGGGUCUGUAAAGAGUUUUUACUUUAUGCCUCAUGGCUCAGACGAAACGAGACAGCCUUUUGUAGAUUCACUUUCCCAUGCUGUGUUGAUUCACAUGGGAAAUAUAAUGCUUUUGGCAUUUAUCCUUCCUUCUUUGCCAUUAAGGAUCUUCUCCAUUAUCUACUGCACCACAAGAUAUCACUUCCAUAUUUUCUGCUUAUUUGAAGAUUUUAGAUUUGUGAUGUUUCUUAGUAGACAUAACACAUGGUCACCUUCUUUGCAAUUUUAAUAAGCUUAUUCAAUAGCAAAAGAUAAUAGAUUCCCCGAUAAAGAUGAUAAUCAGACAAUCAGAAAUUAAUUUGUUACCAAACAAUCAGAAUUCAGUUUAUCCAUAUAAACAUAUCAGCUCAUCUACACUGGUGCAUGCAUCCUGUGAGCACAAAUAUACAUCAAACAAAGGUGAAAGGAGUUCUCCACUCGGUCAAAGGCUCCUGUCACGCUCCCUCCAAACUAUCCACGUGGUAGCACGCAAGCCAGCAACUACAUUUGGCAUCUCUACU